CAGCAGCCGCGGGAAUACGGAGGGUGCAAGCGUUAAUCGGAAUUACUGGGCGUAAAGCGCACGCAGGCGGUCUGUCAAGUUAGAUGUGAAAUCCCCGGGCUUAACCUGGGAACUGCAUUUGAAACUGGCAGGCUAGAGUCUUGUAGAGGGGGGUAGAAUUCCAGGUGUAGCGGUGAAAUGCGUAGAGAUCUGGAGGAAUACCGGUGGCGAAGGCGGCCCCCUGGACAAAGACUGACGCUCAGGUGCGAAAGCGUGGGGAGCAAACAGGAUUAGAUACCCCAGUAGUCCCUGUCUCUUAUAC
rnacentral:rRNA from 1 species